rnacentral:lncRNA from 1 species
AGUUAACAUAUUUAUUUAUUUAUUAUUUUAAAUAAAAUUUGAUUUUAUUGGAGGUUUUGUAUAAUUUUUAGGUCUUGCACUAUUUCUAGAGCGAUGUUUCUGGAUUCAUGCAGCCAUGUCACGAGACCGAAUUAGAUGACGGAGUUCAAAGCGUGACAAAGAGUGACAAGGCAGCCAUCCAAGUCAAGAUCCCUUCUAUUUGGGGUUAAACUGAAAAUUUCUGAUCUAAAUUACCAAUUGUACAUGUAUUGUGCAGUGGGCAGUGAUUGAGAAGAACUUGUGUUCCAUGUGCUGC